GAAAGAUAGGUAGUGACAAAAGUGGACAAUCUAGAAGCCACUCACAUCAACAAGCACAUUUUAUAUACUCAAGCAAUGAAAGAAUCAGAGUAGCAUCAGAUGAUCAUAACAAUAGCAUCACAAGCUUCAUGAAGAUUUUUAAAGGAUGUUGUUUGAAUCAUAAGAAGUUUCAUUUGAAGAUUCAAACAAGAAAGCAAGUUUCAUGGUUAAUAGUCUUCCUC
rnacentral:lncRNA from 1 species